ACGUGAUGUGCGCGUGUGUAUGCGCAUGCAUAUAUAUGUAUACACACACACACACACACACACACACACACACACACACAC
rnacentral:miRNA from 1 species